ensembl:lncRNA
GUGCUUUAACAAGUAUCAGCUGUUUGUUUGGGGUGUAAUGAACAAACCAGAGCCAGAGUGACAACUGCUUCAAGUAAUUAUGAAGACAGCUUGCAAACUAUGGCCCUACUUGUUUCAGAUUCUGAAUGACGACAAUCAGGCUGCUGUUGCUGCCAGCUUUAUUUCUGAGCACUUUUAUUUCCAUAUUUCAAAGUUGUUCAGUUUCAGAAGAAUUUUAGAAAACUCCCAGGAAUGAAAAUAAAAGUCAACCCCGGGAAAACACAGCUGAAGCAUUAUGGGGGAAACUCCAGACAACAGAUGUCAGUGUGUGAGAUGGCAGAGCACGUUUGGUUAUCAACAAGAAGUGAUGAGGCUCUGUAGCUGCUGCCUGGUUUCUGUUCCACUAAAUCUGUACCAUUUUAACAAAAGACAGUAAGCUGUGUUGAGUUAUACGUUUAUUAUUACCCUGACAGAGGCUGGGAGCCAGAAAUGAAUGUCUGCUGUCAGAGCAGGAAUGGUCCAAAGGGCUGUGAGGUCAGCAGACCAUUUUCCUCUGCUGAGGUGAGCUGGAUCAGUCUGCUUAUCUCUGAUCACUCAGUAUGGUUUCAAGUGAGGGAAAGAGGCCACAGAAGCCAGUCCUUCUAUGUGAGACUAUGGAAAGACAGUCAGCAGUGUUUAAUAUAGUAUGUGCAAGAAACAACUAGGUGCUCAUCUCACCAAAAUGUGUAACUGAAAGUUGGCAGUAGACAUUGGAGAAUGGAUUAUCAUCAAAGAAGAGGGAGUUAAUGCAGGAAUAAAGUUAAGCAAAUAAGCUGCAUAAUCAAAUCAGAACUAUGCGUUGUUAAGGAAAAUGGGAUCUGGCUCUUUAUAUUCUUGCAGUAAAUUCUGCCUUUGAUUUAUAACUUUACCUGCUACAAUUGUACAAUGCUGAGUUAUGUCACUAUAUCUGUUAGGGAGAAUUACUUCAUAUCAUAUGACUCUCUAUCUACUCCAACUGGAAACCUGAUUAAAAAACAUCUGUGAGGGGAAAAUAAAAUCCUGCAUAUCUUAUUCUUCAAAUCUGCAGUAUUUGAUAAUGCUUGUAACUAUACCAUAAGCAAUACUACUUUUAGUUAUUUCAUUCAUUUUUUACAUUAAAAAAUAAAGCCUGCUAAUGUUGUUUAUGAGCUAAAUUCCUCCCCCCCCUUUUUUUUUUUUACUUUAUUCAUAUUUUCUGUGCUCAAAAUCACGCUUUUCUAAUAAAAAUGAUUUCUACUUCUC